rnacentral:ncRNA from 1 species
UGCGCAGCGCGUGCUUGACCACGACCGAGCUGAAGCUCAGGCCCUUGAGCCGCGCGGUGCGGAUGUAUUGCUGCGUCAUGACCUCGACCAUCGAGGCGCGGGUCAUGCGGGCGAUGUAGCCGAUGCCGUAGAUGGCCAUCGUCAUCACCGGCAGCGUGA